GGGGACGCGCGGGUUCGACAGGGGAAAUAUGCUGCAGGAUUGCAAGCUGAGGUGCCACUUACCUCGUAAAACAAGUGGCAAAAAAAUAACCGACGAAUCCGAAUUAGUUUUUGCAGCCUAAUUAAACAGGUUGCACGCUCAACCUGACCUCACCUCAAUGGGUUGGGAUUGGGUGCCGAAAAGUUGAGGUGCCACCGUCUGGAUGCCGAUAAUGGCGGUGAAAGAGUUAUCGGCUGGACUAACUAAACUCGGUCAGCAGAGGCUAGUUAGUUGAGAUUAAAUAGCUGACUAAGCUUGUAGAAUAUUCUGGGUAGUUUCUUUUGGACGGGGAGUUCAACUCUCCCCCGUCUCCACCA
rnacentral:tmRNA from 1 species